GGAGCUUGCUCCUGGAUUCAGCGGCGGACGGGUGAGUAAUGCCUAGGAAUCUGCCUGGUAGUGGGGGACAACGUUUCGAAAGGAACGCUAAUACCGCAUACGUCCUACGGGAGAAAGCAGGGGACCUUCGGGCCUUGCGCUAUCAGAUGAGCCUAGGUCGGAUUAGCUAGUUGGUGAGGUAAUGGCUCACCAAGGCGACGAUCCGUAACUGGUCUGAGAGGAUGAUCAGUCACACUGGAACUGAGACACGGUCCAGACUCCUACGGGAGGCAGCAGUGGGGAAUAUUGGACAAUGGGCGAAAGCCUGAUCCAGCCAUGCCGCGUGUGUGAAGAAGGUCUUCGGAUUGUAAAGCACUUUAAGUUGGGAGGAAGGGUUGUAGAUUAAUACUCUGCAAUUUUGACGUUACCGACAGAAUAAGCACCGGCUAACUCUGUGCCAGCAGCCGCGGUAAUACAGAGGGUGCAAGCGUUAAUCGGAAUUACUGGGCGUAAAGCGCGCGUAGGUGGUUCGUUAAGUUGGAUGUGAAAUCCCCGGGCUCAACCUGGGAACUGCAUCCAAAACUGGCGAGCUAGAGUAUGGUAGAGGGUGGUGGAAUUUCCUGUGUAGCGGUGAAAUGCGUAGAUAUAGGAAGGAACACCAGUGGCGAAGGCGACCACCUGGACUGAUACUGACACUGAGGUGCGAAAGCGUGGGGAGCAAACAGGAUUAGAUACCCUGGUAGUCCACGCCGUAAACGAUGUCAACUAGCCGUUGGGAGCCUUGAGCUCUUAGUGGCGCAGCUAACGCAUUAAGUUGACCGCCUGGGGAGUACGGCCGCAAGGUUAAAACUCCAAAUGAAUUGACG
rnacentral:rRNA from 1 species